CUGGCUCAGAACGAACGCUGGCGGCGUGCUUAACACAUGCAAGUCGAACGAGAACGUCCUUCGGGACAAGUAGAGUGGCGAACGGGUGAGUAACGCGUGGGUAAUCUACCCUUGGGUGGGGGAUAACUUUGGGAAACUGAAGCUAAUACCGCAUACGACAGAGAUGGGAAAGGUGGGGAUCUUCGGACCUGCCGCCCUUGGAUGAGCCCGCGUAUCAUUAGGUAGUUGGUAGGGUAAAGGCCUACCAAGCCGAAGAUGAUUAGCUGGUCUGAGAGGAUGAUCAGCCACACUGGGACUGAGACACGGCCCAGACUCCUACGGGAGGCAGCAGUGGGGAAUAUUGCGCAAUGGAGGAAACUCUGACGCAGCAACGCCGCGUGUGUGAAGAAGGUUUUCGGAUCGUAAAGCACUGUUGAGUGGGAAGAGACGAUUGNAGUUAAUACCUGCNCCCCCGACGGUACCACUCGAGGAAGCACCGGCUAACUCCGUGCCAGCAGCCGCGGCAAUACGGAGGGUGCAAGCGUUGUUCGGAAUUAUUGGGCGUAAAGGGCGCGUAGGCGGGCCAUUAAGUCUGAUGUGAAAUCCCUCGGCUCAACCGAGGACGUGCAUUGGAAACUGAUGGUCUUGAGUCCUGGAGAGGAAAGCGGAAUUCCCAGUGUAGAGGUGAAAUUCGUAGAUAUUGGGAGGAACACCAGCGGCGAAGGCGGCUUUCUGGACAGUGACUGACGCUGAGGUGCGAAAGCGUGGGUAGCAAACAGGAUUAGAUACCCUGGUAGUCCACGCCGUAAACGAUG
rnacentral:rRNA from 1 species